rnacentral:tRNA from 1 species
GUACGCGUGGCCCUAAUGGAUAAGGCGUUUGACUUCGAAUCAGAAGAUUGCAGGUUCGGAGUCCUGUCGCGGACG